AAGGCCUCCGCCUUCUUGGUCAUCUGCUCAGCCUCCGCCCGACCCUUCGCCUCCAGGGCAAACGCCUCCGCCUCGCCCUUCAUCUGGACAGCCACAGACACACGGGAGUGCACAUUAGGACUGAUUACAUAGCCUCGGAGUACGAGUAACCCGACUGAAGCCCAGGGGGUUGUGAACACUGAGGCCGCUCACCGGUUGGCCUCGGCCAGCUUCUCCAGGCGGUAUCUCUCGGCGUCGGCGGGCUUCUUGACGGUGGCCUCUAGCUCCAUCUCGCGGCGGGUGAUCUCCUGCUCCUGCAGCAGGAUCUGCUGCGAGCGCUCCACCACCUUCACCUGCAUCUUCUCCUCCUCGAUGCGCUGCUUGGUCU